rfam:Candidatus Margulisbacteria bacterium GWE2_39_32 gwe2_scaffold_908, whole genome shotgun sequence.
UCCAUCGCGAGGUGGAAUCUGAAGGAAGUCGGCGGCAAAACUCCGGUCUGAGGAACACGAACUGCAUAAAAGGCAUAUGCUUGUCGGGUGAGUUUGCGAAACAAAACGAAGCCCAAAACUAUUCGAGAUAAGCGGUGUAAAUGCAGCAGAUAGAUGGAGUGAAAGAAAGCGUU